rnacentral:lncRNA from 1 species
AUCCAGUGGUGCCAGGGCCUCCCUGCAGAAGCCCAGCAGUGUAACACAGGAGCAAGCCCUCCUCACUGCUCCCACCAGCAAGCCUCUUUUCUCCCUUACUCCUCCCCCAACCCUUGCCACAUUUUCCUGCCACAGCCUUCUUCCCCACUGCUCCUCUGUAACCACACCCCAGCUCCCCAGCUCCCCAGCUCCUGAGUCGCCUGCUCGCCAGAGUCUCAGUCCUCUCUUCCUUGCGUGCCUGCAUGUGCACCACAAAACCCACAAGCUCUCCAAACAAAGCAGGGAUCCGCCUCACCCACGUGCUGCCCCUUUGAUGUCCCCUUUCUGGCAGCUGUAGAGGCAAUGAGCAGCUUCCACAGGCUUGGGUCCCAGAAGGGGCGGGUUCCAGCCAAGAAGCUCCACACACAAAGGCCCAGGCCCAGAGGAACACCGGUCAGUCCCUGGAAACCUGGGAAACAGGAGGCCUGUGAGGGAUGAGGCAGAGGCUCAGGGCCCAGGAGUUCUUACUCAGCAGCUUCAUGCCCAGGGGGUCUCUGGAAACCUGCUGUUACCAUGAUUCACAAAUGAGAAGCCCCACACACAUUACACAGCAGCAUAGAAUUGACCGAGUACCUUGGCACCCGUUUGCCUCAUAAAUCCUCACUGUGGCUGAGUUGAUAAUAUAUAAAGAGAGAGAAAGUGAGAGUCAGGCUGCCUAGAUCUGAAUCCUUCUUCUGCUACUCCAUAGCUACAGGACAUAUGGUAAGUCACUGAUCUUAAAAGCUCAGUGCUCUAUCCUCCAAAUGAGGACUAUCUCACCAGUCACCAUGAGGAAUGCAUGAGCCCAUCCUAGUCCAACCUUCUGGACAGUAUCCCCUAUGUAAACACACAUCCAUCCAGUCCCAUGAUCCCAGAUGUCCAGCUCAGUUCUUCUACCCGCAUAUUCUCCUCUGCAACCCUGGGAAAUAGAAGGAGCUGAGGCUUAUGAAGGAAAGCGGCCCUCCCAGACUUAGCAGACACAUCACUGCUUCCUGCUGCUGGACCCUCCAUUCCCUGUCACUGGCACCACUGGCUAGAGACUACAAUGAGGAGCAUGGAGACAUCAAGAAGCUCAUGGUGGCACAAACUUGUGAUCCCAGCCCAGGAAGGAGGACUGAAAGUAAAUUGGAGGCCAACCUAGA